CUCCGUUAAUGUGAAAAAGUAUGGGGAAAGAACUCAUCUUAACCUCCCACCGUUAGGGAGUUUUGAUUAUCUUUUCUAUACCAUA
rfam:Cell fusing agent virus strain Galveston, complete genome